UUAAUUGCUUAAAAUGAAUUUGAUGCUUAAAUUACUUAAAUUUACUUAUUCUUUGAAUGACUUUAAAUGGUUUGAUUUGACUUCAAAUUGCCUCAAUUCGCUUGAAAUUUCUUUCAAAUGCAUAAACCGGUUAAUAAUUAUUUAAAAUUACUUGGAAUGGCUUUCAAUGGCCUAAAAUAGAU
rnacentral:miRNA from 1 species